CAUUACCUUCAUGCUCUUACAGGUUAGGAACGCCAGCAACUUUCCUUGACUAGGACAUCAAGUGCCAUGGAAUUGUCCCAGAAAGGUUGGAGAAGACAACAAAUAGACACCCACUGUUCGAUGCCUACUAAUGAGUUCACACAACGCGUGUUACGCAAUGAGUUUACACAAUGGUGACCAAAAAGGAGGGAAGGGACAGGCCCUGUAAGCGUGCCAUGGUACCAGACCCCCCUGGAGAAAGCUCUGCUCCGCAUUAUUGAGGCUGCAGCAAACGCGGAUGUUUAAAUACAAUGGGGCGCUUAUGUGACUGCCAAAUGCCCGCGAUGCUCUUCCACCUCACUUUCAUCACAGCGGCGUAAAAUGAAAGAUGACAAAGGGCUACGAGGGAAACUCAGCGAGGUGCGAGACAGCACCAAGACAGAGGCAGAGCCGGAGGCCCGGCGUGCGGCGGGGCAGCCGGGGGGCCGCAGGGCGCGAUGCCGCCCGCCUCAGCCACCUGCCCGCCGCGGGCCGUGCCCCCCGAGCCCACCGCACCCCUCAGGGCGCCGCCAGCCCGGCCCAGGCCUCGGCCCCUUCCCCUCGCGUGUCCCCCGGACCCCGACCCAGGCCGGGCCCGAGGCCUCGGCCCCGUCCCCGCGCCAGGCCGGAGCCGGGCCCGGGGCGGCGGCGGGCCCCCCCCCCCAGCCCCACGGGGGAUCCGGGGGGCCGGGGCGAGGGAGGGCGUAUAAUAAACAGCAUCGCUGUCACGCAGGCAGGGCUGCCGGCUCCCAAAGCCUCCUCCCCGCGAUAACAAUCCAGGUACACAGAUCGCUUUCUGUGAAAAGAGGAGAGCAGAGAGCGGCUCCCGUCCCUCCCGGCCCUUCCUUCCCCUGCUGAAGCGUGACAUGGUUCUUUAUGCGCGCCUGACAUGGAGGCCGGGCGAAGAGGAGGCGCCGGCUGCGCCCUGCGGCUUUCUGCAGCCGGGCCCCGCGUUCCCUCCGGCCUGCGGGGCCCCGGCACCAAGGCCCAGACCUGGCCUGGGUCGGAUCUUGGGGUGCCCCGGCCCCCCGAGCACACCCCGCCGCCAGGCUGCGGCUGCACCCGCUGCCACAGGACCCCUGGGCUCACCCCGGCCCUUUUCAUGAGGCAGAACGCCCAGAAUGCAGGCCCCAGAGCAAAGGCCUGGGUCCAGGACAUGCUGCUGGGUCUUCCCAAUUCCGGCACCCACACUCACUCCACCAUCAGCCCUUCCAUGUUCAUUAGCACCCUAAAACACAUUAAAAAAAUAUCACAAUAAUAACAGUCUGCAGCACCAGGAAGACCUGGAGCUGCAAUCUCCAACAACAAGGGCUUGCCCACAGACGAUGUCAGGGGCUUGACUUUUGCCAGACGAUGCCAAUUUUUAAAAGCCUGUAUGUCUGUGGAAGGAAACCAUUGAGAACUCACAAUUCCCAAACCCAGAUACUGCUAUUUUUACCAUAAUGCUACCAGUUAAGUUGUAAUGUUCAUAAAUCAGUUGUUAUUGACAUUUAUUAUACUGAAGUAUUGUCUAGAGGAGCGAAAGAUGAAAGCACCUGCAACCUUGGUCAUAAGCAGAAAAGUAUGGAAAGGUUUUUCCAUAGGUUUGGCUGAGCUUGUAGCAUGCAAGAUGCCAGCUAUCACCUUUGGGUUUUGGGAGAUGGCUCUGUCUGGGUGAUUCUCCACAUCCCAAGGAAAGCAUCUGGCAGCAGGCAGAUGGAGGAGGAAGCAGUGGCUGAAAGCCACAGGGUUACAUCUAGGGAAGGAAGUAAGUGGGCCACAACAAGCACUGGCAGCCAGUGGGGUUGGUAUGCAGAGAAAGGAGACGAGCAAACACCUCUUCUAGCACCUGUUUUGGGGCUGGAACAGGACCAAGAAGACUCUCACUGUUUAUGGUGUCCCCAUAACAGGACUGUGGUACCCAAACUCUGCUGUUGGCAGUGCAUGAGUAAACAAAGUUUGUCACUUUGGGUCAUAAAACAGGGUAUGGGCUUCUCUGCUGGGGAAAGAACGGCUGUAAAAUCAUUAACUCAGGUAUCAGUAGCAGACUAACAAUGGAAAAAAAAUCCAAGAAGCUGAAUAAACUCUCAGGUGAUUAGGCUGCACUCUGCUCAGUAGUUAUCUGUGCCUGAACUACCCAGAUCAGUGACAGGGUUGCCAGAGCAGCCACCUUCAGUAGAGACAUGUGGCCAAACAAUUCACUUUCACUUUCACAUCAGAUAGGAUUUCGCAUCCUUUUAAAUUCAUACCUCACUUCAGUUUAAAGUCUCUUUAGAACAAAUAAAAUACAAAAUAUCUGAGUACAGGAGUUGUGGACUCUGAUCUGAGUUUGUUUGGAAUAAUUCUGUGUAUUGCAUCUUACUUCUCAUGUUGUAUUAUCUUCCCAAACCACCUUUAUCUCCAGAAUACUUACUUGAGGGGUGGAUCUGAUUUAUUUUUCCUAUUUACAUUAUUUGCUUUUCAUUUACUGGUAUUAAUAGCUCUUUCUAGUAAUUUAUUUAAUGAUCUUAAAUCAGAAAGGAGCAGAAAGUAUGCCUACUUCUUCCAGUGUAUUGCAAAUGACAGAAUAGCAGAAUUCAAAGUGGCUAGAUUCUGAACUGAAUCAUCUCAUCAAAAUGUUCAUUUUUUUUAAUUCUCUCUGUCUCAGCACUGGUGUCUGCAGAGGAUGCAGUGAAUGAAUAAUAUUUCUAGUCUGCAGCGAAGGUAAUCACACAGUAGAGCUCUAAAGAAAACUCACCCCAUAGACAUGCAAGGUUGUAGCUCUCUUUUUCUCUUGUGUACAGGCUGCAGUGGGUAAAAGAGCUGCCAAGGUAAGAACUCUGCUCAGCUUUGGCCAGCUGAAAAUUCCUAAAUACACUUUGCAAACAGUCCCACCAUCAAGCUGUGGUUAAGCUGCUGGGAAAAGGAUGGAAGAAGCAACAAGUUUCCCUGCUGAUAAAUUAAAAAUGAAAUCAAAUGCUCCACACAUUAACAACACAGAAAACUACCUCAGUGCAAACAACAAAGGAAUUUCUUAGUGUGAGUGCAUAACCCUAUCAGCCACUCAGUACAGCAGACAAAAGCAAAGACCUUCUGCACAGGGACAGUUCUGCUACGUCACCUGUACACUGUUCCUCUCCUGUUAUGAAGGAUAACAGGGUAUCUACCUCUUCUGCACAGAAGUGGGAAAGAGGGUUUCUUCCAAACACUUCAAGAGCAGCUGCAGAUCAUAAAUGUGAGUGGAGGGAUGCUGGAGCUUGCUAAUAUAUACAGGCUACAUAUUUAUAAGCUGGGUCCUAAACCUACAGAAGUCAAGAGCUGGGCCUGCUUUAGGCCUAGACAAAGGAGCAGCAGGUCCCAGAGGCAGCAACACCGUGUCCUCACUGGGCAAGGGAAACCUGCAGCACGGAUGGCUCCCUCCUUCCACCAAAGCUCCCCAGAGCGAUGCGACCAAGUUUUCUCUCACUUCUCAGCCUGUCAGACAGGUGCUUCCUGAGCAAGGUAGUAUAUAAAAGUAUAAACAGGGGAAGAGGGGGAAGGCUGAGGCCCAGCAGGACCUUGCAGAGAGGUGGCAGGGCCAGGAGUGUGGUCAGUCAUGAAACCAUGAGUCACCCUGGACAGAUGGUGUCUGAGGUAACUAUCUUGAAGCUACCGCCACACUGCUGAAUUUUGCUUUCCCAGUAAUUCCCAGGAAACAGUAUUCUUCAGUAUCCUAUUGAGAAACUUGAAGCCAGUCCUGAUCAUUUCCCCCUGUUCAUAUGAAGAAAAUAGCCACAUACCUGGCUGGAAAUUUUCACAGAGAAAGAAUACCACCGAUUCAACAGAGUGGUCAAAUCCAUCAGUCAAUCCUUAAGAAAAUCCUAUGUGGACAAAAAAGGCUUAAUUCCAAAUGCACCCUUUGAAGUCAUGAAUACAGUUUUAAACACACAUAAAUUUUGCAAGAAAUAUUCCAUGAUCAUAUACUUGUUGGACAUUUUUAUGCUAUCCUGUCUAUGGACCUUAUUCACCUUGCUAUUUCAUGCUGGCCAUUUUGUGACAUGCUGCCUAUAUUGUGCAUUAUGUUAUAUAUGUGUAAUAUGUUAUUAUUCAUAUUAUUAUUUGUACACAUUAUAAUAUAAUUAUAUAAAUACAAUAACAAUUUUAUAUAUUA